rnacentral:lncRNA from 1 species
CGAACUUAAUAUGAUCAUUUUGUUAAAAAUGAAAAAGAUAUUUUUAUUUAUAAAAUCUCUUUCAUCUCAUUUAUUGAUUAACAUAGUUUAUUUUUGAGACAUUGUCACAAUACACAUAAUAGGAAGAAACAUAAAUUAAUAUUUUUAGUUCUCGCAAAAAUUCAAAAAUAGAAUUUAUUUUAAAUGAUCUCAAUGAGAAACUUUCUAAAAAUGAUUUAUAUGAUUAAUAAUAAUAUAAUAAUACCUGCACAAACAACAGUUAGGCAGAGGCUCACAUUCAGAAAGUUUACUACAAUCUCCCUUAGCCACUGGUGGCAAAAGCAGCACCAGCUCAAGUCUGGCUACUGCAAUAUAUAUACCCAAGUAGGGAAUGGGUCACCACAUCAGAGCCCAACCAGCCAAAGUGUUUCCCAGGCAAUUCAGCCAGAGA